GAAGUAGCAUCAGUGUCAGAAUUAUUAAUCGCGGAUUAUAAAGCUGUUUAAGAAAAAAUUGCGUCGAACAUGUUAUUCAGUAAAUCUUGGGUAAUUAUGGUAAUUAUUGCUGCAAUGAUAUUGAUAGUACAAGCCAAAUGGUUUCAGCCAAAUAAUAGAUACGGAAGCCACGAAUGGAAUCCCAUCAAAAUUUAAAUAAUUGUUUACUUGUGAUAAAAUACUAUAAGAAUACUCCAAGAGAAUAACGUUUCGAAAAUGAAGACUAAACAUGCAGCGAUCUACAAAAUAUACAAUUUUGAAUUAAAUACAAAUUUACAUGGAUAUUACAAAAUUAUGUUGUUAAAUAUAAACUUUGUAAUUUAUUUUA